rnacentral:rRNA from 1 species
CCUACGGGUGGCAGCAGUGAGGAAUAUUGGUCAAUGGGCGGAAGCCUGAACCAGCCAAGUAGCGUGCAGGAUGACGGCCCUACGGGUUGUAAACUGCUUUUAUACGGGAAUAACGCGCCUUACGUGUAGGCCUUUGCAUGUACCUUAUGAAUAAGGACCGGCUAAUUCCGUGCCAGCAGCCGCGGUAAUACGGAAGGUCCGGGCGUUAUCCGGAUUUAUUGGGUUUAAAGGGGGCGUAGGCCGCAUGUUAAGGGUGCUGUGAAAUGUCCGGGCUCAACCCGGGCCGUGCAGCUGGAACUGGCGGGCUGGAGUGCGAGGAAAGCAGGCGGAAUUCGUCGUGUAGCGGUGAAAUGCUUAGAUAUGACGAAGAACCCCGAUUGCGAAGGCAGCUUGCUGCAGCGGAACUGACGCUGAUGCUCGAAAGCGCGGGUAUCGAACAGGAUUAGAUACCCUGGUAGUC